GAUGAACGCUGGCGGCGUGCUUAACACAUGCAAGUCGAACGGAAAGGCCCAAGCUUGCUUGGGUACUCGAGUGGCGAACGGGUGAGUAACACGUGGGUGAUCUGCCCUGCACUUCGGGAUAAGCCUGGGAAACUGGGUCUAAUACCGGAUAGGACCACAUUUUGGAUGGUGUGGUGGAAAGUUUUUCGGUGUGGGAUGAGCUCGCGGCCUAUCAGCUUGUUGGUGGGGUAAUGGCCUACCAAGGCGUCGACGGGUAGCCGGCCUGAGAGGGUGUACGGCCACAUUGGGACUGAGAUACGGCCCAGACUCCUACGGGAGGCAGCAGUGGGGAAUAUUGCACAAUGGGCGCAAGCCUGAUGCAGCGACGCCGCGUGGGGGAUGACGGCCUUCGGGUUGUAAACUCCUUUCGCUAGGGACGAAGCGUUAUGUGACGGUA
rnacentral:rRNA from 1 species